rnacentral:lncRNA from 1 species
CUUUUAAAGAUGGAUGAGGCCUCGGUUCAAUGAGGGCCCCAGGCAGGGGACGGCCACACCCAGGUAAACGCUGCAUUUCUACAACAGCCACCUGUGCAGGCCCUGCAUGCUCUGUAACCUGGGGAUUUGGUCUUCUGAAAAGGGCACCAGAGAAAAACUGCUCUUAAGCCUCUGUUAACUGACACAGCAGUAGAACUCCAAGGUGUUGAUCCUUGGAUUCAUGUUUCUCAACUUCAGAGACACACAUCACUCCUUCCUGACCACUGGGCAUCCAUCCCACCAGGAGCUCCUAAUCUGAGAGCUGUUAGAAAUCCUCCAAAAGUGCUGACUGCAGAAGUUGGUAGCUUCUGCUCAAGAUGACAGAACAAGAUUAACUUUUGUAUUCUUCAGCACCUUUUUUAUUUUCCAUUAUCACACUUUGAUACCCUCUAAAACAUUAAAACACCUUCUAGAAUGCUUAUGUGAUCAACUUGAUCUUUGUCUUAUUAAUUUUGACCUCUGUCAUCUCCUUCUACCACUUAAGAAAAAACCAAAACUCCCUUGUGCAUCUUUUUCAAACCACAGCUACUGCCCUGAAUUUAACUAAUUACUGACAAAAUCUAGUAAGUAUCACUUCAGACACUUCAGAAGGAAGUACAGGCCCUUUCUAGUACUUAAGUUUGCCUUACACCACAAAUCCCAACCUUCAGUCCUGUAAAAACUGGAGCUUGAUGUCACAUCAAUGGAAUGCUUCUGACAAUGUCAUCACAAUCCUUUCAGCACAACCUGGGUGUCAUGAGUGAGCACUGACAUAGGACUAUCCUUGCUACAGCUACCACUCUGUUCUCUUCAGAGACACUCUGGCUUGCUUCUCAAAAACUGUUUAACUCUACUCAAGAACAGCCCACAAAAAAUCCUGACCCAUAGCUGUUGUGCUAAAAUGAACUUUCUGUUUCCAUACAAUCUGUGCCCCACUAAGAUGCUACCAAAGCAGACAUCAGGCUUACACUGCCUGCUGUAAUAUAGGAAGUAGAUGUUUCCACAUCAAUAAAUAUUCCUUUCAUACGCUGCUAAUGUAUUCAUGCAGCCCAUUAGAUAGAUGUACUAAAACGAAGUUAGCCAGUUUUAAAUAUAAUUUUGUAUUUAUGUGCUCUUUUAAUUUAUUCAUAUUAAAACAGACAUGAUCAUUAUCUUUUAAUAUACAUUUUACAACUUGUAUGGUUAUUUUUUGAGAAUAAGCUGACAGAUUUGGAUUGAUGGGUAAAAUGUAAGCAUAUACGUUAAAGGGUUUAAAAAAAUCUGUAAUGCUAAACUAUUAUCCAGUGAGGUUUUAUUGGUCUAUAAUCCCAACAACAGCCUACCCAUUGUCAGCUUGCUCACACCCAUGCCAGCACUGGAAUUAGCUAGCCUUUUCAUCUUCGCUGGAGCGGGAGGUGAUCCAGUAGAAAAAAAUGGCACCAUUUUUUCCCUAGUUAGAAAUUCUUGGGUUACUGGUAAAGGUGAACUUUCCUUCUGUUGUUCGGCUGGACUCUAGACAGGAGCUGGUGUGAGGCAAUUUAAAAUGCUGCUUUCCAGAGAGGCCUGGAGAGACUGUUCUCUGUGCUGUAGAGGGAGCUGUUCAUGAGAAGAGGGAGCCUGAAAGGGCGUUGUCAUUGUUGUUCUCUCCUGCUACCCCAUGCCUCACAGAAAGGUCCACAGGCCAGGAACAGGGAAAGGGGUUCCUGUGUUUAUGCCACUUGUAGACGGCACAAUACAAACCUGGCUGCAGAAAGAGAAAAAGAGAAGGUUAUCAUCAGACACAGUGAAUAAUGGGAAAUAAUUUCAGAGAAUCAGAAAACUGUUAACUAGAAAGUGAGGCUGAGGAAGUGACCUACGAGAAAUGGACAAGGACUCGAUUUACACAGUAACGAGAGGGACAGAGAGAGAAACCCAGAGAACAGGCAGUGGCUGGCACAGAGGCGGCAGGGCUGAGAGGAAUGGAGUGAGUGUCUCCCAGACAGUGAGCUCUGAGCUGCACUAUCCAGAGCACAGGGGAACGCCAGAGCGAAGAGCCCCACCUCCUCAAGGAGGCAGAGGCUUUCCACAUUUUCUCUAAACUCUCCUUCCCUCCCAAAUAAAAUGGCCCUGUCUGUCCCAUGGCCUCUGCCUCAACUACAAAAAUAUCUGUCCCCCUGGGGGUGGGGAAGGAGAGAUGUGUCAAUACCAGGGAAUGGCUCCAGUGAGGGCAAGGAGGCCUCGCUGGGCAGGCGGGGGACUACCAGCAUCCAUCUGAGCAGCCCCACUCUCAGCAUCCAGGACGACACAGAGGAAACACAAAAGCUUAUGUCCCAGAAUCCUGGAGGGAUGUGGGCAGGAGACUGGCCCUGGGACCAACUCAGACGCUCUGUUUCCACUUUCUCUCCAACAUCUCAGGCUGAUUCCUCAGGUUCCCCAUUUCAAGGUAUGACAUAAUUACAGAAUCUUACUUCAGUCUAUCAGGCUACACGAGUGGUGUCCAAAGGCCUCACACAGAUGCCUCACUCCAUCCUCUCUGAGGAGAUGAUACCUCAUUAAACUUUUCCAGAAACUAACGGUUCUUAAGAGUAAAGAUUCUGACAACAGGCAUCAACAUUUUUCAAACUGUAAGAGAGUCAUGAAGUGGAAAAUAUUUUUGGACAUCACUGCCUUUGUAGAAGAGAGAAACUAACUUCACAUUUAAGUUAAAAUAAAAACUAAACAAAACUCUCUGUGUGUGUGUGUACUGUUUGCAAAUGAUUCUGGAAGGAUACCCUCCACACGGGUAGAAGUGGAC